ensembl:lincRNA
UAGCCCCUGUCCUGAAAAUGAAAUUUCUAACGAGACAACAAAUCACAUUUGGAAUUGUAUUCACGGUGGCUGUUUCCACAGUUCUGGCCAAAACAAUCACUGUGUUUCUGGCUUUCAAAUCACAGGACCUGGAAGAAGAUUGAGGAACUUCCUGGUAUCAGGUGCACCCAACUACAUUAUCCCCAUAUGUUCCUUAUUACAAUGUAUUCUGUGUGCAAUCUGGCUAGCAGUUUCUCCUCCC